UGGGGAAUAUUGCACAAUGGGCGCAAGCCUGAUGCAGCUAUGCCGCGUGUAUGAAGAAGGCCUUCGGGUUGUAAAGUACUUUCAGCGGGGAGGAAGGCGAUAAGGUUAAUAACCUUGUCGAUUGACGUUACCCGCAGAAGAAGCACCGGCUAACUCCGUGCCAGCAGCCGCGGUAAUACGGAGGGUGCAAGCGUUAAUCGGAAUUACUGGGCGUAAAGCGCACGCAGGCGGUCUGUCAAGUCGGAUGUGAAAUCCCCGGGCUCAACCUGGGAACUGCAUUCGAAACUGGCAGGCUAGAGUCUUGUAGAGGGGGGUAGAAUUCCAGGUGUAGCGGUGAAAUGCGUAGAGAUCUGGAGGAAUACCGGUGGCGAAGGCGGCCCCCUGGACAAAGACUGACGCUCAGGUGCGAAAGCGUGGGGAGCAAACA
rnacentral:rRNA from 1 species